rnacentral:rRNA from 1 species
GAUGAACGCUGGCGGCGUGCCUAAUACAUGCAAGUCGAGCGAACGGACGAGAAGCUUGCUUCUCUGAUGUCAGCGGCGGACGGGUGAGUAACACGUGGAUAACCUACCUAUAAGACUGGGAUAACUUCGGGAAACCGGAGCUAAUACCGGAUAAUAUUUUGAACCGCAUGGUUCAAAAGUGAAAGACGGUCUUGCUGUCACUUAUAGAUGGAUCCGCGCUGCAUUAGCUAGUUGGUAAGGUAACGGCUUACCAAGGCAACGAUGCAUAGCCGACCUGAGAGGGUGAUCGGCCACACUGGAACUGAGACACGGUCCAGACUCCUACGGGAGGCAGCAGUAGGGAAUCUUCCGCAAUGGGCGAAAGCCUGACGGAGCAACGCCGCGUGAGUGAUGAAGGUCUUCGGAUCGUAAAACUCUGUUAUUAGGGAAGAACAUAUGUGUAAGUAACUGUGCACAUCUUGACGGUACCUAAUCAGAAAGCCACGGCUAACUACGUGCCAGCAGCCGCGGUAAUACGUAGGUGGCAAGCGUUAUCCGGAAUUAUUGGGCGUAAAGCGCGCGUAGGCGGUUUUUUAAGUCUGAUGUGAAAGCCCACGGCUCAACCGUGGAGGGUCAUUGGAAACUGGAAAACUUGAGUGCAGAAGAGGAAAGUGGAAUUCCAUGUGUAGCGGUGAAAUGCGCAGAGAUAUGGAGGAACACCAGUGGCGAAGGCGACUUUCUGGUCUGUAACUGACGCUGAUGUGCGAAAGCGUGGGGAUCAAACAGGAUUAGAUACCCUGGUAGUCCACGCCGUAAACGAUGAGUGCUAAGUGUUAGGGGGUUUCCGCCCCUUAGUGCUGCAGCUAACGCAUUAAGCACUCCGCCUGGGGAGUACGACCGCAAGGUUGAAACUCAAAGGAAUUGACGGGGACCCGCACAAGCGGUGGAGCAUGUGGUUUAAUUCGAAGCAACGCGAAGAACCUUACCAAAUCUUGACAUCCUUUGACAACUCUAGAGAUAGAGCCUUCCCCUUCGGGGGACAAAGUGACAGGUGGUGCAUGGUUGUCGUCAGCUCGUGUCGUGAGAUGUUGGGUUAAGUCCCGCAACGAGCGCAACCCUUAAGCUUAGUUGCCAUCAUUAAGUUGGGCACUCUAAGUUGACUGCCGGUGACAAACCGGAGGAAGGUGGGGAUGACGUCAAAUCAUCAUGCCCCUUAUGAUUUGGGCUACACACGUGCUACAAUGGACAAUACAAAGGGCAGCGAAACCGCGAGGUCAAGCAAAUCCCAUAAAGUUGUUCUCAGUUCGGAUUGUAGUCUGCAACUCGACUACAUGAAGCUGGAAUCGCUAGUAAUCGUAGAUCAGCAUGCUACGGUGAAUACGUUCCCGGGUCU